UACGAAGGGGGCUAGCGUUGCUCGGAAUCACUGGGCGUAAAGGGUGCGUAGGCGGGGCUUUAAGUCAGGGGGGAAAUCCUGGAGCUCAACUCCAGAACUGCCUUUGAUACUGAGGAUCUUGAGUUCGGGAGAGGUGAGUGGAACUGCGAGUGUAGAGGUGAAAUUCGUAGAUAUUCGCAAGAACACCAGUGGCGAAGGCGGCUCACUGGCCCGAUACUGACGCUGAGGCACGAAAGCGUGGGGAGCGAACAGG
rnacentral:rRNA from 1 species